rnacentral:rRNA from 1 species
UACGUAGGGGGCAAGCGUUGUCCGGAUUUAUUGGGCGUAAAGAGCGUGUAGGCGGCCAGGUAGGUCUGCUGUGAAAACUCGAGGCUUAACCUCGAGCUGUCGGCGGAAACCAUCUGGCUAGAGUCCGGAAGAGGAGAAUGGAAUUCCCGGUGUAGCGGUGAAAUGCGCAGAUAUCGGGAAGAACACCGGUGGCGAAGGCGGCAUCCUGGACCAAUAUUGACGCUGAGGAGCGAAAGCUAGGGGAGCAAACGGG